UCUCUUCCAGUUGGCUGAGCUUAGACUAAGAGGAGGCGUGGCUUCCCCGGCUGCCCUUAGCCCGAUGCUCCUAUAUAUAGGGGGGCGGGUAUCAGCCUCCCGCCUUCCCACUCGGAUCUGGACCGCCGCGGAGGUAGGUGCUGGCCUUUUCGGAGCCGCUCCGGAGCGGUCCGGGGCCAGAAGACAAUGAACGGGACGCGCUCCUGGUGUGCGCUGGUGGACUUGCACUCCGAGGGGGAGAGCGCGGGAGUUGGGAAGUCCUACACAAUGGUGUCUAGCAGAUCAGCUGGUCAUUCCCUGGCAUCGGAGCUGAUAGAGUCUAAUGAUGGGCAUGAGGAAAUCAUCAAGGUUUACUUGAAGGGGAAAGCUGGUGACAAAGUCAUCCAUGAGAAGAAUAUCGAUCAGCUGAAAAGUGAGGUUCAGUACAUCCAAGAGGCUAGGAGCUGUUUGCAGAAGCUUCGGGAGGAUAUAAGCAGCAAGCUUGAGAGAGACUCAAGGGACUUUCCUCAGCAACAGGAGAUGCAGGUGCUAUUGGAAGAGCCAAAUGACUUCAGGCAGUCUUCCACUUCUCUGUACAAGACCCCCUCUGAGACCCUGGCGCAAGGCUAUCAAAAUGAAGACUCCGAGAGCUUGAAGAAAACCAUCCAAGAUCUGCGUGAUAAGCUGCAGGAGGCUGAGAGGCAGCAGCAGUCAGACAAGGCGCAUUUCGAGGCCACACUUAGCCGGUACCAGAGAGAGGCUGAGACGAGCAGUUCUGCCCUUCAGAGAGCCGAGAGCAGCUUGGAGCAGAAAGAUGCAGAAAUUCUCAAGCUUCAGAGGUGCAUGCUGGGGAUGGAGAAGGAACAACAGAACUUACUGGAGAAGGUCAGUGAAGGGGAGACGGCCCUGGAAGAGCUUCGGACCUGGAGAGCUGACUGCCUUGCCGAGCAGGAAAAGGCUGCUCAGCUAGAGAAGGAAGUGGCUGGCCUUCGGGAGAAGAUCCAUCACCUGGAUGACAUGCUGAAGAGCCAGCAGCGGAAAGUCAGACAGAUGAUAGAGCAGCUUCAGAAUUCUAAAACCGUGAUUCAGUCAAAGGACACAACCAUUCAAGAGCUCAAAGAGAAGGUUGCCUACUUGGAGGCUGAGAAUUUAGAGAUGCAUGACCGAAUGGAGCACCUGAUAGAAAAGCAGAUCAGUCCUGGCAAUUUCAGUACCCAAACCCGAACCAAGAGUGACAACCUGGGAAGGUUGAAGAUGUUUUGUGAGAUGAUUGGAGAAGAAGAGCAUAUAUGGAUAUAAAGAACAGCCUCAGCUUCAUAGGACUGAAAAGGGUUUUGAAGCCAUUAUCUGUAUCUCACUGCUUCACUAAAGGGCACCACACUUCUGAGAGCGUUAGGAUCUCCCGGCCUCCAAACCCUAAGCCCUUGCCUCUCAUCCGGGUGGUGGAAACCUGAGCUGCAAAUGAAUAUUGCUGCUUACUACCCUUGUUGGCCUAAAGAGAAAACCCACCCACCCUGUUGUAUCACAGACUUUUACUUCUUGAUCGCUCCUUGGCUGCCCCCCCUCCCCCCCUCCCCCGGGCCACAUGUUUGUGUGCCUAAUUCUUGAGCUCCUUUCUUCUGUAUGCUGGGCAGACGGAGGAGGGGGAGGGUCUUCCUCUGGAGACCUGGAGCCCUUUGAAGGAAGCUACUGAGGCCAGGACAAGGGUGGAGCCAGUGAUAACACCCAUAAUACCAUGAUUGUUGCUGAUCUUCAUUAAAGAGGAGAUUUUUCCUCUGAAACUGGGUGUCGAGCUGCCCUGGCAACCAGGGUUACCCAGCAGGACUGGGAUGGGGUGCCCUGACUCACCUCCUCCCUAACACAUGGACUGGUUAUCAUGCUGAGGGACAGAACCUCUUUUUUCCAGUGUUGCUCAGCCCCUAGCAACAUACCAUUUCCCCGUUUCUCUGUGCCCCAGAAACGCUUAGUCCUCCUCCCAAGAUGGCGGGAUGCCUACCAAGCUUGGGGGCUGUCUGGCUUCAGUGAGGAUGAAUCUCUCCUUCAGUUAAGUCCAUUUUCCCGGGGAGGAGGGUGAGACAAAAAUCUGCAUUCAAAGAAUGGAUUUGUAGCAGGAAGGGGUCCCUAGGGACACUGACAGCUACACCCUAGUCCUUACUGCUUUUGUCUUCUACCACAAUUCCCAGAAACCCUUGGAGUGUUUUUGUUUUUCUUUCUUUUUUCCCCAUUUAAACUUAGCCCAAGAAAUACCCCAGUCUUCUUGGUCCCAGUGCCUGGAGGAAAGAUUUUCCACCAGACUACAUCACUCUCAGAGAAGUAGCCAUGCCUCCCCCAAUAUUUAUUUUGCUAAGUUAUUGGUGUCUUUGAUUAUGUCUUGUGGUUGUUUUAAUACCAAAGUUUUGGAACCUACCUAUAGCUAUAGAGUUGCUUGAAACUGGGAAAAGCUUUUUGUGUGUCUUUCAUCCUUCUCCUAUCCCUGUGUUUUCCUCUCCCCUUUCUCCAUUUGUAAUUUGUGGACCAGGUAGGGAAUUGUAUGUGUGUUUGUAUAUUCAGACUACAGGUAGGGGGGAGUGGGCGGGAAAGGAAAUGUAUAUUGAUUGUACAGAAAAUUCAUGAAUAGGAUCCUUGAAUCUCCCCCUCCCUGCUUCCCUUCCCUCUCCCCCACCAUUCAGGGUCCUUUUGGGUAUACUGCCUCUGAAUGAUCCCAUCUCCUCUUGGUCCCUGACUUGUAGCCUCAGGCGAUGGAGAUAAAGCAUCAGAGGACUAGUAUAGUCCUGUAGAAAAAUAUUAAGUCACUUAGCUCUGCCUGGCUCAAAAGUAGAAGGCUUAAGUUUGUCUGUGUCUGUGUAGAGGAAGCCUGGGUACUAGGCCAAGUCCUGCCCAGAACUUGCUUUGCCACUGUGGGCAAGUCCUUCCAUGCUCCAGUUGACUCAUCUAGAAAGUGAAGGGCCUGCAGUAGUCUAUUUCCAAAGUCUCUGCUAACUCUAAAAUGUGUUUCUGGCCUAUACUCUUUAUAUGGUGAAUCGAAUAAAUUAUAUUAAUAUGCCUCUCA